UAGUUAACUGCAAGCAACAGAACAUGAAUAGUGAAGUGGAGGAAGGAGUCGAAAUGAGACUUCAUUAACAGAUUCAUGUACAGCUCAGAUUUAUAUGGAGAUAAGCUUCUUAAACAACUUGCAUACAGCAUAAGCAAGUAACAGAAACAGUCUGGGAAGAUUAUUUUUUCAUUAUUUAAAUCUACAUCCUGGUUACACGUCGCGCGAUAGCACAUAUCAUCUCAUGCGAUCUUAAAGAGAACUUGACGUGAACAGUUUAGGAAUGCAUAUUCCGGGAAAACAUUAGAACUCUGAAAUGCUGACUAAAUAUAAAGCAUGUUUUUAUCUGUAACAUUAAACCUACACUGACAAUAAGUAAUAACUUAAAAAUGAAACAUAAAAGCAGACCACUACUUACUUGCCGUUGCCUGGCUGGGG